CCUACGGGAGGCAGCAGUGGGGAAUAUUGCACAAUGGGGGAAACCCUGAUGCAGCGACGCCGCGUGAGUGAAGAAGUAUUUCGGUACGUAAAGCUCUAUCAGCAGGGAAGAAAAAAAGUCCUUUGGACUUUGGACGGUACCUGACCAAGAAGCCCCGGCUAACUACGUGCCAGCAGCCGCGGUAAUACGUAGGGGGCAAGCGUUAUCCGGAUUUACUGGGUGUAAAGGGAGCGUAGACGGCAGCGCAAGUCUGGAGUGAAAUGCCGGGGCACAACCCCGGAACUGCGUUGGAAACUGUGCAGCUGGAGUGUAGGAGAGGGAAGUAGAAUUCCUAGUGUAGCGGUGAAAUGCGUAGAUAUUAGGAGGAACACCAGUGGCGAAGGCGGCUUACUGGACUGUAACCGACGUUGAGGCGCGAAAGCGUGGGGAGCAAACAGGAUUAGAUACCCUUGUAGUC
rnacentral:rRNA from 1 species